rnacentral:rRNA from 1 species
UACGUAGGGUGCGAGCGUUAAUCGGAAUUACUGGGCGUAAAGCGUGCGCAGGCGGUUAUGUAAGACAGUUGUGAAAUCCCCCGGGCUCAACCUGGGAAUUGCAUCUGUGACUGCAUAGCUAGAGUACGGUAGAGGGGGAUGGAAUUCCGCGUGUAGCAGUGAAAUGCGUAGAUAUGCGGAGGAACACCGAUGGCGAAGGCAAUCCCCCUGGACCUGUACUGACGCUGAGGCACGAAAGCGUGGGGAGCAAACAGG